rnacentral:rRNA from 1 species
GACGAACGCUGGCGGCGUGCUUAACACAUGCAAGUCGAGCGAUGAAGCUCCUUCGGGAGCGGAUUAGCGGCGGACGGGUGAGUAACACGUGGGUAACCUGCCUCAUAGAGGGGAAUAGCCUUCCGAAAGGAAGAUUAAUACCGCAUAAGAUUGUAGUAUCGCAUGAUACAGCAAUUAAAGGAGUAAUCCGCUAUGAGAUGGACCCGCGUCGCAUUAGCUAGCUGGUGAGGUAACGGCUCACCAAGGCGACGAUGCGCAGCCGACCUGAGAGGGUGAUCGGCCACAUUGGGACUGAGCCACGGCCCAGACUCCUACGGGAGGCAGCAGUGGGGAAUAUUGCACAAUGGGGGAAACCCUGAUGCAGCAACGCCGCGUGAGUGAUGACGGUCUUCGGAUUGUAAAGCUCUGUCUUCAGGGACGAUAAUGACGGUACCUGAGGAGGAAGCCACGGCUAACUACGUGCCAGCCGCCGCCGUAAUAC